GUAGGUGAACCUGCGGAAGGAUCAUUAACACGAUACUAACGUAUCAAACCAAAACGUGCUCUUGUUGUUGACCUCUGGUUAUAGUUAGAUUGAGUUAAAGCUUAGUGUGUUGAGGAUAAAGACACUAAGUGAUUGAUUGGGAAGGUUGCAAAGCCUUUCUAAUUGAGAAUUCUUUUUAAUUAUUUCCUUAGGUUCUUUUUUUUAAACCUUUUAUCCUCACAACCAAUAUUAACCAUAUUAACCCCCUUUA
rnacentral:misc_RNA from 1 species